UAACACCCGCUUUAUGACUCAAAGGAACCGUUAAAUGAUUCGUCAAAAAGAUUCAAAAUUCCCAACAAGAAGAAACAGAUCUGUGCAACAGGUGUGUUGGUAGUUUGAUCCUUCUACAUAAUUCGUGAAUAACGCCAACACAUUCAAGAGGAAUAUGCUUUGUCUGCGGUUUUUGCCUCGACCUGGAUUUGGAGAAAAUGACCCAUUGUUAGACAGAUCUGCAGGAGUGCAGAUUCAUGGCCACUGAAUAAGAAAGCUGACAGCCGAGGCAAAGAGCACUCCGAAUGCGCAGUCAGUCUUUUGUGGGGCCGGACUAACUUACAGGUAAUACUUCCACUCCAUUUAAUGAUGCACUCCAUCUUUCUCAUGUGUCAUGAGGCUUUUCUCUCAUACAGAUACUAAAUAGCAUAUAUACAAUUUGAGAAAAUUACUUUUUUUUUUUUUAUUUCCAAAACUCUUCAAAA